UGAAGGCUUUCAAGUUAUGGUUUGGAUUUGAGUGAAGGUUGUGUGUUUGAUUAGUCUCAGAAGUAAAGAUCAGAGCUCAAGAAUCUGAGAAGUCUACAGGUCGUGGUGAACAUGGUCAAGUGGUUGAUCAUGAUAUCUGUGGAGGUACAGAUGGUUGGAUCAAGAUGAAAGACAAGUGUCUUAGAGUGCUUUCUGAAGUAGCAGAUGGUGAGUCUAAGGCGUGGUGAUCCAGGGAGUGCUGCAAGGAAGCUCAAGGUCUGCACAGGUCUAAAGGAGUGCUGCAAGGAAGCUGCUGUAGUCGAAUAAAUCUGAGAAAAGAUUCAUGUCUCUGGGAAGAACGUGUAUGUUCUCUAACGAUGGAUGGACAGAGACUGAGACAAAAUCAUAUUGGAGUUCUCAGUGGGAGCAAGAACAACUUGUGGAGCAGUGUUCUUUUCAGAGAAAAUUUCUCAGCAGAGAGUCAAGUGAAUGUAACACUCAAAGUCAGUUCAGUUGAGUGGCGCAAGGAAGCAAAAGGAAGCCUCUGGUGGAUCUUCUGCUUUAUCAGAGAAUUGUUGCAGUGGCUGCAAUUAUAUAGCAACAUGCCAUGGUUAAAGAUUGAGGCAGUGACGAUUAACUCUGAAAGGUGGAGCUAUGUUUGACGUACAUAUGAACUUUGAAGGAUUGACGCUUCAGGUGGAGUUUCUGCAAGUAAAUGAACUUCAGAGCUACUUUUAGUGGAAGUUUGGUCGCAG
rnacentral:lncRNA from 1 species